UUUAGUGAAUCUGCUUUUACGAUUAAACCAUCACUGUAAUUGGCACUGGAAGAGCAUUGGCAGUCUGCUGUGGUCGCCUUCCCUGCAAAGAACGUUUGUGAUGCUCAUCUCUGAAUGAUGCAUAGUGUCUGCCUGUAUUCAGAUUUAAAAAGAAUUUAAAAAAAGAAUGCAUGAACAGCAGGUAGACUGGUCAGCAGUGAUUCAGUCCCUGGCAGCCAUGAUGAGAGCACCACAAGCUCAACUCAGCCCUGCUGGAGGUGGAUAUUUCUCCAUUUCCUUUCAUGGCAUUGCACCUACGUUACACCAGGUAUCAAGGGAAAAUGGCUAGCAGUGAGUUCUGUAGCUUUUCCUGCUCUACAGCCCCCCUGGCUUAGCCAGCUGGAUCACACUGAAUUAGUCAAGUACUUCAUUAUCUCCCUUCUCUGCACAUUUAGCUCCAGCGAGAACGAACCCUUCCACAGCAAUACCAACCUCGGGGGUCCCCAAGCACUUCUGCACCUGCCUCGGAAGGACAGACAGACUCUCCCAGCUGCCCACAGGUGGAAGCAGGCUGCGAGCCCUCCAUGCUGGUCUCUUGCAAUAGCAAGCCCUGGCACAGACUGGGAAGGAAGAUGCUCAGACUCCAAACUGGUCUCCAAGCCCUCAUCAGCAUCCCUUGUUUCUCUGAAUGCUCAACAAGGUAAAAACUGAGGGUUUGUAAUUUACCAAGCCCCUCCUGCUUCCACCCCAAUCCCUCCGCUCUUUCUCCUGCAGUCUCCCAGAAGGAAAUGUAAUUCUGAGCAUCACAGCAGCCCUGCUGGCUGCUGGGAGCAGCCAGGUCAGCAUUCACGUGUGCUACAACACACGGCUCCGCACCGUCCUCACGUAAUUAUCUCUCUCCUGAAAGAUUUGUUGGACUUUUGCCCACAGGCAAAAAUAAUAAGAAUAUGGUAAACUUUUUCCAGCUUCCCCUACUGGCCUAUCCUUAGAGUAGGAAUUAAAUAUUAAUGUGCUUUAAACCACCUAACUGGCUGAUAUUUUUCAGUUUUGCACAGAGGUGAGACCGAAUUGCAAGUUUAUUUAUGCUGCCUCCCAUUCUUAGGCAGAAAAUACAUGUGAAAAACGCAUUUUCAGCCCUAUUGCACAGACUUACAGGAAGAGAAGGACAACCAUGCCAUUUCAGCAUUCCUGUUCACCUGGGGGCAUGCUGUCAUCUCCAAAUGUCCCAGCAAUGUUGGUCUCCUCUGGAGAGCCCCAAGGCUGACACAAUGCUCAGCCCAUGGACACUGCUCCUGCCUUCCAGAGGUGGCUCUCCAGGAGCCCCACACCAAGCUAUGGGUCUGGCUGUUAAUGCAGAUUUCUCACUGUGCUUAAGGCCCCAGUUAUGCCAGAGUCCAAACCAGCUUAAUGAGAGAAGGGGCAGAAGCAGUUAUUGCUGCACAGGUCCCUCAGCCACAAGAGGGAUGUUUGCCCUCAAUGCCAGGAUAGUGCUCCUGGAGGAAUCAUGCUGUGGAAGCCAGGGCAUGGAC